GAUGAACGCUGGCGGUCUGCUUAACACAUGCAAGUCGAACGAACUCUUCGGAGUGAGUGGCGGACGGGUGAGUAACGCGUGAGAAUCUGCCUGUGGGUCGGGGACAACCACUGGAAACGGUGGCUAAUACCGGAUGAGCCGAAAGGUAAAAAAUUUAUUGCCCACAGAUGAGCUCGCGUCUGAUUAGCUAGUUGGUAAGGUAAAAGCGUACCAAGGCGACGAUCAGUAGCUGGUCUGAGAGGAUGAGCAGCCACACUGGGACUGAGACACGGCCCAGACUCCUACGGGAGGCAGCAGUGGGGAAUUUUCCGCAAUGGGCGAAAGCCUGACGGAGCAAGACCGCGUGGGGGAGGAAGGUUUUUGGAUCGUAAACCCCUUUUGUCAAGGAAGAAGUUCUGACGGUACUUGACGAAUAAGCCUCGGCUAACUCCGUGCCAGCAGCCGCGGUAAUACGGAGGAGGCAAGCGUUAUCCGGAAUGAUUGG
rnacentral:rRNA from 1 species